AUUGAACGCUGGCGGCAGGCCUAACACAUGCAAGUCGAACGAGUGGCGGACGGGUGAGUAAUGUCUGGGAAACUGCCCGAUGGAGGGGGAUAACUACUGGAAACGGUAGCUAAUACCGCAUACCAUCGGAUGUGCCCAGAUGGGAUUAGAGAGUAGGUGGGGAAAUGGCUCACCUAGGCGACGAUCACUAGCUGGUCUGAGAGGAUGAAGGUCCACACUGGAACUGAGACACGGUCCAGACUCCUACGGGAGGCAGCCGUGGGGAAUAUUGCACAAUGGGCGCAAGCCUGAUGCAUCCAUGCCGCGUGUAUGAAGAAGGCCUUCGGCUUGUAAAGUACUUUCAGCGAGGAGGCGUUACUCGCAGAAGAAGCACCGGCUAACUCCGUGCCAGCAGCCGCGGUAAUUC
rnacentral:rRNA from 1 species